AUGGUGGAACAGGCAUCAGAUCCAUUUUUUUUCCUGAGCGUGACUGAAACCACGACAAGAUCCGCAGUUCCCAGGGUGAGCCUGACUUCAGAGCUCAGUGAUCUGAAGAAUGGAGAUCGUUCAGAAAAAGAACUCAUUAGCAUGACUCAAGAGUCUUGGAAGAUGACUGAGCAGAGGCCUGGCAACAUUAGGGGACUCAUUCAGCAUCACUCAGCAUGCUGGUGGCAGAGCUGGGAUCCAGGUGAGCUUACUUUUGACGAGGCAUUUGCUUGUUGUGUUAAAUGACAACACUUCUACGUGGAGUGUGUGUUUUUUUUUUUUUUUAGUGGCACUGCUAUCCUUCCCUAACAUCAUUAGUUCGUGACUACAAAUACAUGCUUUCCUGUGGUUUAGUGUUUUUGCUGUCAUCUGACUCUAAUUGCUGGAAAGGUUUUCUUUAUAUUGAGCUGAAAUCUCCUCUUUCAUUCUAAUUCAGGCCCUCAAAGCUUUAUAGAGUAAGUUUUCAGCCCAGGUCUUCUCUUGUCCCAAUCUCUCUGAUUUCUUCAGCCUGUUCUCAUGGGAGAGAGAAUCUAGGCCUCUCUCCAUCCUGAUUGACUUUCUCUGGAUGUACAUGCUAUGAAAAAUGAAAGUUCAACUCCCCAGGUGGGAUCUAAUCAGGUUAGUGCCGAGGGAGGUCUCUGCCAGCUGUGUUGGGCUCCCAGGGCUCCAGCUGAGGUGGUCUCUAAAGGGAUCCUCUCCAUCACUCAGACAUGGGUUUAUUUCCUGAUACGGCUCACUGGUCCUUCCGGAGGCAUCUGCUUAUCUUCCCCAGUACAGGUUGGCUUUGUGAGAAUGGGCGUGGUGUUUUAUGCUCUGUCCAGUUUAAAGUGUCAACAAUGCAAAGGUUAAGAAACCUUUAAUUUAUUAUCUAAAAAACAAAUCCACAGAUAAUGAGCUGCUUCAUCAACAAGGAACAUUUACUGCACAUCAGUUAUGUACAAGGUUUGGUGUCAGGCCCUAAGGCUAGGAGGCAGUAAGACGUUGUCCUCAUAAAAACAAUUUCCCUACAUUUGUGGAGCCCACUGGCAUUUACAGAUUGUCUCUAUACCUAUCAUCUCACUAGAAUCCACGUUCCUCUGCAGGAUAUAGAAGUGAAAUAUGCAUUGACCCCAGUCUGGGGACAGAUUUUGCAAGGGCCAGGAAUCAGAAAAAUAGAGGGAAUCUCCAAACAGGGGCUAAACAGAGAGCGUUUGAGACAUGGAGGUUCAAAGGCCAGUGAAGAAGACAGAAUAUUGCUCAUACAGAUGGGCUAGAGGUAGAUACUGAAGCUAGUGUUUGCAGCAAGGCCUAUGGGAAGGGAAAUGUUAAAGAGCAAGAAGGUCAGAAGGGAACCUAAGGAAUUUGGCCUUCGAGGUCUGCUUUAAUGUAUCUCCUGCUGUGUGGUAUGCAGAUCAAAAAACAGUCAGCUAAAGGGUGGAAGAGAUAACAACUUGAGGACAUUCGCCACAUUACAGAGGAGGAAAAAUGGAGAUUCCUGGCCAGUUGUGAAUGUUAUAAGCAAUAGAACCAAAAUUAAAUUCUAGCCUCCUGACCCCCUAAUCCAGCUGCUUUCCAUCACCCCUCGCCACUUCUGCCUCAAGGACAUUCUCUUUCCCCCACUAACUACAAUAACCCAGCUUGGAAUAAGCUGGGUGAGUACUAAAUGUAUGUUGUCACACUGGGCUUGAGAAUUGGGAGCUUCCACCCUAGGUCAUGCACAUAUUUUAGCCCAUUGAAAUGUCAACAGCUGCCUGCUGAAUCAUGUGGUAGGAAUAUACUUUUGAUUCAAAGCAGCAGCCAAACUUUUAUUUGUGGAUAUUUUUGUUAGAUAAUAAGUUACGGGGUUUUACUGUUGAUACUUUGGACUGGACAGCUCUUUGUUGUGGGGGCUGUCUUGUGUCUUGUAGAAUCUUGAGCGGCAUCCUUGGCCUCUACCCACCAGGUGCCGGUAACACUCCUCUCCCCGAUUGUGACUGCCAAAAAUGUCCCCAGAUAUUGCCAAAUGUCCUCUAGGGGGCAGAAUUUCUUCCCAUGCUCUGCAUUGAGAACCACUGAUCUGUUCAUAUGAUUUUACUCAAAAGACACCAAAGGUGUGCAAAGAUCUUUUUAGAAUAAUGACUUCUUUUGCUCUGGGAAGAUACCCAGUAGUGGGAUUUCUGGAUCAAAUGGUAGUUCUACUUUUAGUUAUUUAAGGAAUCUCCACACCAUUUUCCAUAGUGGCUGUACCAGUUUACAUUCCCACCAGCACUGUAGCAGUGUUCUCUGAUUGUUGCAUCCAUGCCAACACCUACUGGUUUUUGGUUCUUUGGUUAUGGCCAUUCUUACAAAAGUAAAACUAUAUUUGCACAUGCAUGUUUAUAGCAGUGAAAUUCACAAUAGCAAAAUUGUGAAAUGAACCCAAUACCCAUCAAUCAACAAGUGGAUAAAGAAACUCUGACAUACAUAUGAUCAUAUAUAUAUAUAUAUAUAUAUAUAUAUAUAUAUGGUAUAUGGAAUACUAUUCAACCAUAAAAAGGAAUUAAUUAACAGCAUUUGCAAUGACCUGAACGAAAUUAGAGACUAUUAUUCUAAGUGAAGUAACUCAGGAAUGGAAAACCAAAUAUUGUAUGUUGUCACUGAUAUGUGGAGCUAAGCUAUGAAGAUGCAAAGGCAUAAAAAUGAUAUAAUCGACUUUGGGGACUUGAGGGGAAGAGCGGGAGGGGUCUAGGGAUAAAAGACAUAAAAUAUCGUGCCGUGUAUAAUGCUUGGGUAAUGGACACACCAGGUUCUCACAGAUCUCCACAAAAGAACUUACUUAUGUAACCAAACACCACCUUUACUCCAAUAUUAUGGAAAAAUAAAGUUUAAAGAAAUUGCCUAGGGUAAAGUUGG
rnacentral:lncRNA from 13 species